rnacentral:rRNA from 1 species
CCUACGGGAGGCAGCAGUGGGGAAUAUUGCACAAUGGGCGCAAGCCUGAUGCAGCCAUGCCGCGUGUAGGAAGAAGGCCCUCCGGUUGUAAAGCACUUUCAGCGAGGAGGAAGGGUGUAAAGUGAAUACCUUUGUGCAUUGACGUUACCCGCAGAAGACGCACCGGCUAACGCCGUGCCAGCAGCCGCGGUAAUACGGAGGGUGCUAGCGUUAAUCGGUAUUACUGGGCGUAAAGCGCACGCAGUCGUUCUGUUAAGUCAGAUGUGAAAUCCCCGGGCUCAACCUGGGAACUGCAUCUGAUACUGGCAGGCUUGAGUAUUGUAGAGGGGGGUAGAAUUCCAGGUGUAGCGGUGAAAUGCGUAGAGAUCUGGAGGAAUACCGGUGGCGAAGGCGGCCCCCUGAACGAAGACUGACGCUCAGGUGCGAAAGCGUGGGGAGCAAACAGGAUUAGAUACCCCAGUAGUC